AAGUUAAAGAAGAAGCCGUCCGCUUCUCACCUUAUGGCUCAAGCUUAUAGGGUUAAACAUAAUGCAUUUACUAUGCUUUUUAUGCUUGCUUUGCGGAUGGAUUUUUCCAUCCGCUUUAUUUAUUUUGG
rfam:Desulfonispora thiosulfatigenes DSM 11270 genome assembly, contig: Dest_Contig00031